UACGGGGGGGGCAGGCGUUGUUCGGAAUUACUGGGCGUAAAGGGCUCGUAGGCGGCCAACUAAGUCCGACGUGAAAUCCCCAGGCUUAACCUGGGAACUGCGUCGGAUACUGGAUGGCUUGAAUCCGGGAGAGGGAUGCGGAAUUCCAGGUGUAGCGGUGAAAUGCGUAGAUAUCUGGAGGAACACCGGUGGCGAAGGCGGCAUCCUGGACCGGCAUUGACGCUGAGGAGCGAAAGCCAGGGGAGCGAACAGG
rnacentral:rRNA from 1 species